rnacentral:snRNA from 1 species
GUGCUCACUUCAGCAGCAUAUAUACUAAAACUUCAAAUAAUACAUGCUAAUCUUGCAUGGCCUUGUGCAAAGAUGACAUGCAAAUUCAUGAAGCAUUCCAUAUUUUU